ensembl:lncRNA
GACUAAAGUAGGACUAAAGUAGGACUAAAGUAGGACUAAAGUAGGACUAAAGUAAGAAUAAACCAGGACUAAGGUUGGACUAAACCAGGACUAAGGUUGGACUAAACCAGGACUAAACCAGGACUAAACCAGGACUAAACCAGGACUAACCUAGAACUAUACGAGGUCUGAAAUACCCAACAAGAUCUGAACAAAACUAUUUCUAAACCUAGUCGUCUAGCUACCACAAGUGUUCAAAUCCACUCAUAGGGACUACCUGUUGUACUUUAUCAAUGAAUGGUGGCAGUAGAAUGUUUUACCUGAUUGGUGUCAGAUUUCUAGCCCACCCUUCACUACACUGCUUUGCUGAAAUUAAGUGAAGAAAGAAGAUGGUAAAAUGGACAUUGAUAACUUACCAGCAACACUACAGUCUGUAACAAAGAUGUCCUCUACUUCAAAGUCUAUAGUCCAACUCUAAAACAUAGUACAGUGCAUCAAGGACUGCAAGUGUGUAGAUGACUAAAGUGAAUUUUAAAAAGCGAAAUGCUUAAUAUAAUGAUUUUUCUUUGGUUAAAAUUGGAAAAAUUGUCCAUAAACUUAAAAUAAUCCCAUGAAUGUCUCUGUGAAUACAUUUGUUCAUGUGUAAACUUGUACAGACACCUGAAGCCAUAUUAACUAUAGGAGCGAGUGGAGAAUGACGACACAUGUAGGCCUGUCACGAUAACACAUUUUGAAGUGCGACUAAAUGUAGACGAUAAACUAAAUGUACAAAAUUGUUAAAAAAUAUGAACUCCAACAAAUAAAUUUAAAAAAGAAAAUGCAACACUAAAAUAAUUAGUGUCUAUAAUGAGUCAUAGAAGUUCAUAAUUCCACCAUCUACUGCUGAAAUCUCCUAUAGUACAGAAAACGUACCAGAUAUUUUCCACUAGUACAAAGAAAAGGUACCACAAUAAAUACUGACCCCCAAAAAUGAUGAUGUCGAUAUAGUAUUUAUCGUGACAGACCUAUACACAUGGGCAGUAAAUAGAGGUGGACAAGUAUAUAAUAGCAGUAGAUUGUUACUUCGAUUAAAAAAAUACAAAUUAUACAUCUCAAAUUAUGUUUUUUGAUUAGUUAAAAGUAUUGUACCUGAUUUGUACUCUUUAAAAAACUGUGAAAACCAGAACUAGUUCAUUUUAAACAGUUUGCAGUGAUCUAACAUUAUUCCUCUUUUACUUUAUGCAUUUUGAACAUCCCACUUAUUCACUGCAACUUUCAGAGACCAGAUCGGGUUUUUGAUGCCACGGUGUAACUAACAACUAGCAUGCUAACCGCACACUUUGGAAAUAGGGUCUUUUUCAGAUGAUUUGAAUUCAGAAUAUUAUGAUUUGACUUCCAGGGCUAAUUUACAAGGAGUGUCUUUGACCCUUCUACGUUCUAGUGCUUAAAUAUCCCCCAAUUAUUCAUCUGUGAGUUAAUUAAUUAGUUUAUUAUUGCUUUGUUGAAGUUUACAAGUUCUGCUUUUGUCCACUACUAUUCACUGUCCACAACUAUUCAAAUACUAAGCUAGUAAAUAUCAUCCUAGCAUAUGUAAAAUAUUGUACAGAAUGGGCCAAUGGCAAAACUGCAUUAACUCUUAAUAUAAACACCUGGAUGAAUGUCGACGCUAAUGCUAACCCUGUAAUGUAAAGUCCUUAGCGGAUCCAUGACUCUAGCUUUAGCUUCAGUGUUUUAAGACAAUAUAGACUGUAGAUGGUGCUGGCUUCACUGAGCAGGACUCGUGUUUAAAAAUACUCCCUUAAAAUGGCAGGAUUUGUAAUGAAAGUUUCCCAUCUCGUAAUGUCAUUUGUUGUUUUACUUUCCAGGUCAUGUACUAUAUUUGAAUGUGUAUGUUUACAGAGACCUGUAUAGUAUGACUUGCCCGUAAAGAAGCAAUGGCUAAAGGUAAAGUUACAUAUUCUGGAAACAAAAUUCAGCCCUAGCAUAAACUAAUUGCGUGAUAUUUACAUAAUGAAUAUCCCCAUACAUAUAUAUUUUUAUUAUGCCAUUGUCAAAUGAUAAUACAGCAAUCCUUAAAGGUCCUAUAUUGUGCAAAAUGGCAUGGCAGCUCUUAGCCAUGUUGUAAUGCUGUUACCUCCUCAAAAACAUACCUGGACUUGUUAAACAUGUGUGAAUGAAAUGAAACACAGCCGUUUUUGUUGAGGAAAUGACAUUAUAACCACAAAAUGGCAUAAUAUGGGCCCUUUAACAAAUGCGUUAAAACUAAUAUUGAAGUAUUGGAUGGAUUUAAAGGCGCUGUACCUGAUUUUUGACUCUAAUACACUAGUUGUUUGUACCACUGCAAUCCAUUUAAAUUGAACUAAAAAACAAAACAAAAAAAGAAACAAAGUUAUUUCUCACUUGCCUUAAGCAAGUAACAUCCCAUUUUGCACAUCCUAAUUAUUUACUGCAGUAAGUUUUUUGUGCUUUUCACCACUUUCAUUGACCAGAGUGGAGUUUUGCCAUGACGGUAAAGCUAACAGCAACUAGUAUGCUAACACUCGCUUUCUGAUUAUUGGACAAUUAAAUGCUUUAUAAUUAGAUGCAGACAGCACGCAGCAGACUUAUUUUGACCACAAGAGCUGCUUAUAAAAUAUAUGUGUAGGCAAGACAAAUUUAGCUCAGAUACAUGGGGAAAAUUGGGUACAGGGCCUUUAAAUAAUUAAACAUGUCCAGGAGAAUUAAUAUUUGAGAGAAGGCUGAAAUAUGAAGUGCUAAGCUAAUACUAGAAUUACACAAAUUUAAAAACAUGUUUGUAGUGCUCGUUGCAACCACUCAAAGUGUGCUUUGACACUGAUUCAUUGUAAAUCCCCAAAUUAUCUGUAACAUGCAGUUCUAACUUCUACCAUGUGACACCGUUAAUUUCAUUGUAAAGAUUUAAACAGUAGUACAGUACUGAUACAUAAUUAUGUGUAGCUCAACCAAGCUAAACAUAUAAACAGACUCAUACAGAGCAAUUACCCUUAAUAUGAGAAUGUAUUGAAUGAUGGAUGGAAUGUCUUUCACACUUGUCUUUGUCCCACUAAAUUAAUUUGUGUCCAAAUAUAUAUAUAUAAAAAAGUAUGCUGCCACAAGUUAUUCAUCCAGCCCAUACAAUGUCAGCAACUUUGCUAAAAAAAAUAAAAAUAAAAAAUAUUUGAAAAUUGCCAAAAGUGGCUUUAAUUGUGAUAAGAAUUUAACUAAUUGUGGAUACCUCGUAAUAAUUUGUAACCUUUAGUAAUACAAAUGUACCUAUUGCUAUAUGUAAGUACUUAAAAGUCAAUCACACUUGUUACUAAAAAUAUUGUUUAAAGAGGGGGAUUUAUGCAAAAUCGACUUUUUGGAGCUUUCCACCAUGUUAUAACGUUGUUCCCUUUUCAAAAACAUACCUGAACAGGUUUUAAAUAUCCAUGCAUGUUUGAGUAAUCUAGCGAUCUCUUCCGGGCUACAGUGUGAUUCUGUCCAAUGCUCAGUCCACGAGCUCACUUCAUCCAUGCUCUCACACAGCAUUUUUUUCAUAAUUGUACAAAAGCAGGAUACAAUACAAUACGCUACAACUUCACAAACCUAAUUCGAUGUGUAGUAGUUUCAUUAGCAGGACACAGUGAUCUAAAUAUGUAAUGUAUUAGCAAUUAAUUCCCCAUAGAAGUGUAACACCCCCUCUUUAACAAAAGUUGCUUGUGCCAUGUGAACAAUUUCUCAAUACAUGCCGUUAAAACUGAUAAUUAUGAGUUAUUUUUGGCAGCCAGAACCUUCAUGUGUUGAUUUGAGUGUCACUCUAUGCAACUGUCUUGAUGCUGUAGCCUUACGACCUGGUCAAAACUCACUACAAACGUCGUUGAAAUCUUCUGUUACGCGUAGUGCCUGUUUUGUUUAUUGCCAUUCCUUUUUAAAUUCUAUUAUUUAUAAGGUUUUAUGAAUGAAAUGCUUGUCCUUUUUUCUUUGGUAACGUCUUAAAAUGUUAAAAUGUUAAACGCUACUUCCGAAAUGAACAAAUGUGCUUUAUAGUUCAUAAGUAGAAGGAUUUCAUUUUGAAAAGUUGAAAAGUUGAAAGUUUGCAAUGCAGUCACUAUAAUAACGACAAAACCGUAACCAUAACAAAGUCUACUGCAAAAUACUCAAUAGUUUUCAAUCCAAUCCCCAAAAAUUCUUAAAUUGGCUUUUUUAACUACACAAAUUUACUUUAAAGUGGAUUGGUAGCUCAUAAAAUGUACUAAAAUGAAAUUAAAGGUACCCCAUGUAGCUUUUCUGGUGGGAAUCUGCUACUUGCUUGUUUCCAUGACGAUGUUCCUGCUUUGCCUGGACUGUUCCACACUGUUACUUAUUAUGGGAUCACCUCCACAGAUCUGACAUGUGACUUUACCUCCAUGGAGAAAAGCAGAUGACACCAACAGGUCGAUGCGUUUAAUGCCAUACUGUGUGACAUUCUAGGCAAAGCAGCACAUGGAGAUGAGGAGGUUGGGACUGUUGCCACACUAAUGACCAUUAUUAUAAUAAAUAAUUAUAAUUUAAAAAAGUGUGUUAUUGGCAGAAAGGGCAAAACAUA